rnacentral:rRNA from 1 species
CUUGAAGAUGAGCUUGCGUCUGAUUAGCUAGUUGGUGAGGGUAAAGGCCCACCAAGGCGACGAUCAGUAGCCGGUCUGAGAGGAUGAACGGCCACAUUGGGACUGAGACACGGCCCAGACUCCUACGGGAGGCAGCAGUGGGGAAUCUUCCGCAAUGGGCGAAAGCCUGACGGAGCAACGCCGCGUGAACGAAGAAGGUCUUAGGAUCGUAAAGUUCUGUUGUUAGGGGCGAAGGGCAACAUUUUGAAUAAGGGUGUUGUUUGACGGUACUUAACGAGGAAGCCACGGCUAACUACGUGCCAGCAGCCGCGGUAAUACGUAGGCGGCAAGCGCGUUGUCCGGAAUUAUUGGGCGUAAAGGGAGCGCAGGCGGGAAGUUAAGCGGACUUUAAAAGUGCGGGGCUCAACCCCGUGAGGGGGUCCGAACUGACUUUCUUGAAUCCGGGAGAGGGAUGCGGAAUUCCAGGUGUAGCGGUGAAAUGCGUAGAUAUCUGGAGGAACACCGGUGGCGAAGGCGGCAUCCUGGACCGGUAUUGACGCUGUAGCGCGAAAGCUAGGGGAGCAAACGGGAUUAGAUACCCCGGUAGUCCUAGCCCUAAACGAUGAAUGCUUGGUGUGGUGGGUAUCGAUCCCUGCCGUGCCGAAGCUAACGCAAUUAAGCAUUCCGCCUGGGGAGUACGGUCGCAAGGGCUGAAACUCAAAGGGAUUGACGGGGGCCCGCACAAGCGGUAGGAAGCAUGUGGUUUAAUUCGACGCAACGCGA